rnacentral:rRNA from 1 species
UACGUAGGGUGCAAGCGUUAAUCGGAAUUACUGGGCGCAAAGCGUGCGCAGGCGGUUUUGUAAGUCUGUCGUGAAAUCCCCGGGCUCAACCUGGGAAUUGCGUUGGAGACUGCAAGGCUGGAGUCUGGCAGAGGGGGGUAGAAUUCCACGUGUAGCAGUGAAAUGCGUAGAGAUGUGGAGGAACACCGAUGGCGAAGGCAGCCCCCUGGGUCAAGACUGACGCUCAUGCACGAAAGCGUGGGGAGCAAACAGG